AUGUCUGGAGAUGCAGGAACAAUUGGGUCAUCCAACCGAGUGACCACGCCAACGGAAGCAGGCGAAGAAAUAAUAGAUGCAGGAACAAUUGGGUCAUCCAACCGAGUGACCACGCCAACGGAAGCAGGCGAAGAAAUAAUAGAUACUGGAACAGCUGGGACUUCCAGCAACUCGAGCGAACAUGUGGUGAUCUCCAUGGCACGUCCGCCAUUCCGUGCGGUGAACCAAGACCUGUUCACACCCUUGAGCGUGUCGAUCGGCCCUUAUCAUCGUGCUACUUGUUCAGAAAGAUGGAAGCAAGAGAAGCAGCGCGUGGCCAAAGCGACCCUAAAGUCUCUCGAGCAUCAGCUCAGGCAGCAGCUUUGGAAGCUUGUGGGGGAUGUGAAGGCGCUCUACGUGGGUUUGCCCAACAUGGAAUUGGAUGAUUUCGUCACUAUGCUGCUGGAGGAUGGGUGCUACGUGCUCACUACAUUUGCAAAAUACCAUGAAUUUCCGGUUGUCAUUCAGCCCAGAGGUGAGCGGAACACGGUGGUGCGCGAUAUCAUGUACCUCCUUGAGAACCAGUUGCCUAUGAUAGUCCUUGAAGAGAUCCAUCGGUGCCUGACGCCUGGGAGGUCCGUCGUCGAGGACGUUGGAGUGCGUGUUCGGGAGCUGCUGAAGGAACAGCUCUACAUCAGAGGAGAAAAAAGGCCGCUGACCGUGCCGGCGGCGCCUUGUCACCUCCUACAACUGGUGCACAGCUACUUCCAGCCAUCCAUUUCCGUAAAUUCUGGUGAACAAUCGGAACCUCCUCAGUUGGAGAGAAGAAGUGCAACUGGAAGCGACGUUCAGGAGGGAACUCAAGACAGGGAUAAUACGCGCCGUCGCGUGGGUCGGUGGCAGCGGGUGCAGGCGGCACCUUGUCAGCUCCUGCAACUGGUGCGCACGUAUUUCCAGCCAUCCAUUUCCGUAAAUUCUGGUGAACAAUCGGAACCUCCUCAGUUGGAGAGAAGAAGUGCAACUGGAAGCGACGUUCAGGAGGGAACUCAAGACAGGGAGGAUAAUACGCGCCGUCGCGUGGGUCGGUGGCUCCGGGCGACGGAGUACAGCAGGCACGGCAACGUGCAGCUCAAGCCUCGGGAGUUCAAGGAUGGUGUGGAAUCCAUUCUUGACGUGCGUCUUGAAGGAAGCACGCUGUGGAUCCCUCACCUGCGGAUUGAUAGCAGCACUUGGACGAUCCUACGCAAUCUGAUGGCGUUAGAGGAGCAGACAGCUGGCACUGUCGGGAGCCCCGUCACGGCCUACUGCCUGUUCAUGUCGCAGCUGGCGUCUAAGGCGGAGGACAUUGAGCUCCUGAGGCGCAAAGGGAUCGUCGAACACUUCUGGGGCAACGACGAGGAGGUAGCACAAGGCUUCGCCGACCUCUGGAAGAAAGUGGUCUUGGACGACGUCGACAAUGUCGACAGUAACUACCUACGCGACACAUGGUACCUGCUGCAUGACCGUUGCGAGAGCGUGGGGCACAACUGCUGGGGAUCAUUCCGCCACAUCUACUGCGGCGACUCCAUGCGCUUCCUUGCAUUCGUCACCGCAGGCUUACUGUUUGCUCUUCAGCUCAUUCAAGUCAUCCUUGCCGGUUUCUCCUUGCGACAACAACAAGGCAAGUAA
rnacentral:rRNA from 1 species